GGGGGGGUAGCUCAGUGGUUAGAGCUUGGGUCUCGUAACCGAAAGGUUGCAGAAUCGAGUCCCGCUAAAGGCA
rnacentral:tRNA from 1 species